rnacentral:tRNA from 1 species
GACCCGCUAGCUCAGUUGGCAGAGCAUGAGACUCUUAAUCUCAGGGUCAUAGGUUUGAGCCCCACAUUGUUUU